GAUGAACGCUGGCGGCGUGCUUAACACAUGCAAGUCGAACGAUGAAGCCCAGCUUGCUGGGUGGAUUAGUGGCGAACGGGUGAGUAACACGUGAGUAACCUGCCCUUGACUCUGGGAUAAGCCUGGGAAACUGGGUCUAAUACUGGAUAUGACUUCUCAUCGCAUGGUGGGGGGUGGAAAGAUUUAUUGGUCUUGGAUGGACUCGCGGCCUAUCAGCUUGUUGGUGAGGUAAUGGCUCACCAAGGCGACGACGGGUAGCCGGCCUGAGAGGGUGACCGGCCACACGGGGACUGAGACACGGCCAGACUCCUACGGGAGGCAGCAGUGGGGAAUAUUGCACAAUGGGCGCAAGCCUGAUGCAGCGACGCCGCGUGAGGGAUGACGGCCUUCGGGUUGUAAACCUCUUUCAGUAGGGAAGAAGCGAGAGUGACGGUACCUGCAGAAGAAGCGCCGGCUAACUACGUG
rnacentral:rRNA from 1 species